AAAUAAGUUAAGAAAUAUAAGGGUAGUAUUAUAUAUAUACUAGAGUCUAGUAUAAAUAUAUCUGAAAUCUAAAAGAUUUGGCGGCAUCUGAAUGUUUAAGGGACUCGCUUCAUAAAAUCGUCAUUACUCGAUUGAUCUUGCCUUUAAGUAGUUUGUAUACCACCGAUUUAUAUUAAUUAAUAGAUUAAUCUAAUAAUUUUAUGUUUGUUAUUCAGGUCAACGUGCAGCAUGUAGAAGGAAGAGGUAAGUCACAUUUUUCAUGAAUUGCAGUCUAAGACUGAAAGUUUUGUUGUUAAGAUGAAUUAAUAAGUAAAUAAGGGUUAGAAUUCUUUUUUGAAGAGGUAUCAGAUGUGU
rnacentral:rRNA from 1 species